rnacentral:rRNA from 1 species
UACGUAGGGUCCGAGCGUUGUCCGGAAUUAUUGGGCGUAAAGGGCUCGUAGGCGGUUUGUCGCGUCGGGAGUGAAAACACGGGGCUUAACCCCGUGCCUGCUUCCGAUACGGGCAGACUAGAGGUAUGCAGGGGAGAACGGAAUUCCUGGUGUAGCGGUGAAAUGCGCAGAUAUCUGGAGGAACACCGGUGGCGAAGGCGGCGUUCUGGACUGUAACUGACACUGAGAAACGAAAGCCAGGGUAGCAAACGGG